rnacentral:rRNA from 1 species
UACGGGAGGCAGCAGUGGGGAAUAUUGCACAAUGGGCGCAAGCCUGAUGCAGCCAUGCCGCGUGUAUGAAAAAGGCCUUCGGGUUGUAAAGUACUUUCAGUCGUGAGGAAGGUGUUAAGGUUAAUAACCUUAGCAAUUGACGUUAGCGACAGAAGAAGCACCGGCUAACUCCGUGCCAGCAGCCGCGGUAAUACGGAGGGUGCGAGCGUUAAUCGGAAUUACUGGGCGUAAAGGGCACGCAGGCGGUUAAUUAAGUUGGAUGUGAAUCCCCGGGCUUAACCUGGGAAUGGCAUUCAAGCUGGUUAGCUAGAGUCUUGUAGGAGGGGGUAGAAUUCCAUGUGUAGCGGUGAAAUGCGUAGAGAUGUGGAGGAAUACCGGUGGCGAAGGCGGCCCCUGGACAAAGACUGACGCUCAUGUGCGAAAGCGUGGGGAGCAAACGAGGAUUAGAUACC